rnacentral:tRNA from 1 species
AGAUGGUGGUGUACAGGAGGCAUGUGGAGUUUUGAUCUCCCAGGUAUAGGUUCAAUUCCUAUCUAUCUAA